AUUGCAGUUGACGAUAACGCAGACAGGGACAUUGGUACUUAUGCUAAGGAUGGUGGUUUGUCUUUGGGACUCUCUCCGAUGCAUA
rfam:Vigna angularis cultivar Jingnong 6 C3547983_1, whole genome shotgun sequence.